GAAGGUAUAGCUCAGUGGUAGAGUGCCUGCUUAGCAUGCACAAGGUCCUGGGAUCAAUCCCCAGGACCUCCA
rfam:Camelus ferus unplaced genomic scaffold scaffold1533, whole genome shotgun sequence.